CCUUGCAGUUACUGAGGGUCCCCUCACCCUCUGCCUUGCAGUUACUGAGGGUCCCCUCACCCUCUGCCUUGCAGUUACUGAGGGUCCCCUCACUCUCUCUCUCCCUUGCAGUUACUGAGGGUCCCCUCACUCUCUCUCUCCCUUGCAGUUACUGAGGGUCCCCUCACUCUCUCUCUCCCUUGCAGUUACUGAGGGUCCCCUCACUCUCUCUCUCCCUUGCAGUUACUGAGUGUCCCCUCACUCUCUCCCUUGCAGUUACUGAGGGUCCCCUCACUCUCUCCCUUGCAGUUACUGAGUGUCCCCUC